rnacentral:rRNA from 1 species
UACGUAGGGUGCGAGCGUUGUCCGGAGUUACUGGGCGUAAAGCGCGCGCAGGCGGCGGUGCUGGCCCGGCGUGAAAGCCCCCGGCUCAACCGGGGAGGGUCGUGCGAUACGGGCGGACUGGAGGCCAGGUAGGGGGAUGCGGAAUUCCGGGUGUAGUGGUGGAAUGCGUAGAUAUCGGGAGGAACACCAGUGGCGAAGGCGGUUGCCUGGAGCUUUGCUGACGCUGAUGCGCGAAAGCGUGGGGGAGCGAGUCCGG